rnacentral:rRNA from 1 species
CGUGAUGUUAGCGGCGGACGGGUGAGUAACACGUGGGUAACGUGCCCGUAAGACUGGGAUAACUCGGGGAAACCGGGGUUAAUACCGGAUGGUUGUUUGAACCGCAUGGUUCAAACAUAAAAGGUGGCUUCGGCUACCACUUACAGAUGGACCCGCGGCGCAUUAGCUAGUUGGUGAGGUAACGGCUCACCAAGGCAACGAUGCGUAGCCGACCUGAGAGGGUGAUCGGCCACACUGGGACUGAGACACGGCCCAGACUCCUACGGGAGGCAGCAGUAGGGAAUCUUCCGCAAUGGACGAAAGUCUGACGGAGCAACGCCGCGUGAGUGAUGAAGGUUUUCGGAUCGUAAAGCUCUGUUGUUAGGGAAGAACAAGUACCGUUCGAAUAGGGCGGUACCUUGACGGUACCUAACCAGAAAGCCACGGCUAACUACGUGCCAGCAGCCGCGGUAAUACGUAGGUGGCAAGCGUUGUCCGGAAUUAUUGGGCGUAAAGGGCUCGCAGGCGGUUUCUUAAGUCUGAUGUGAAAGCCCCCGGCUCAACCGGGGAGGGUCAUUGGAAACUGGGGAACUUGAGUGCAGAAGAGGAGAGUGGAAUUCCACGUGUA